GGAGAAUUAGGGAAGUUUCAAGGCGGAAAUGGCAUGUGGUCUGAAGAUGCAAGAUGGCUAGGAGAAGCUAAAAGGGAGUUGCCAAAAGUGAGCAAAUGAAGAAAGACAGAAAAUGCAAUCAUUGUUUAAGAAUGCAUAGUACUGAAUUAAUUGGAAAAGGUUGGGGAGAAGUGCAACAAGAAGAGCCACAGAGAAGUGGAAGGGGGGCCUAUGAUGCAAACUGUAGAACUCAAAAUUCUAUACUCAGUGUUGGACAGAAGAUUAACAACCCUAAGAGGUAAGACAUGAAAAUAAAGCAAUCUGUUUUUGAAACUUUGUAUUUCAAAUACUAGGGGGUCUAUAGCAGGAAUUUGUGUGUCAUUCAGUCACUUGUGGAAGGUUAUUGAGUGUGUACUAGGUAGCAGGUACUAUUUAUG
rnacentral:lncRNA from 1 species